GAUGAACGCUGGCGGCGUGCCUAAUACAUGCAAGUCGAGCGAAUGGGCGAGAAGCUUGCUUCUCUGAUGUUAGCGGCGGACGGGUGAGUAACACGUGGAUAACCUACCUAUAAGACUGGGAUAACUUCGGGAAACCGUAGCUAAUACCGGAUAAUAUUUUGAACCGCAUGGUUCAAAAGUGAAAGACGGUCUUGCUGUCACUUAUAGAUGGAUCCGCGCUGCAUUAGCUAGUUGGUAAGGUAACGGCUUACCAAGGCAACGAUGCAUAGCCGACCUGAGAGGGUGAUCGGCCACACUGGAACUGAGACACGGUCCAGACUCCUACGGGAGGCAGCAGUAGGGAAUCUUCCGCAAUGGGCGAAAGCCUGACGGAGCAACGCCGCGUGAGUGAUGAAGGUCUUCGGAUCGUAAAACUCUGUUAUUAGGGAAGAACAUAUGUGUAAGUAACUGUGCACAUCUUGACGGUACCUAAUCAGAAAGCCACGGCUAACUACGUG
rnacentral:rRNA from 1 species